ACAAUGAUGAUCACACCGAACAACAAAAUCGGAUUGAAAAGACGAAAAGAAAUUUUUUUUUUGUUGUUGUUAUUGACCACAAAAAUGUUAUUGAAUCGCAAUCUUGCAACGUGUUGAAUCAUGAAACUUUUUGCGUGUUUGGAACAGUAAAAAAAAGUUGUUUUGAAUUGAGUAGCAAUUUAGUUGUUGUUUUUUUUUAUUUCAAAUUAUCGUCUUCGUCUUGACCAUCGUUAUCGUAAUAUUGAUGUGUAUGAUGGACUUACACAUGAAGAAGAAGAAGAAGACAGAGAAACAGAUGUAGACAUCAUAUGAAUUCCAAUUCGGAACAAGUUUCGUGAUGUUUUCAAUGAUCAUCAUCAUUAAGCUUUUGACUAUUCGAUCCAAUUUAAAUGAGAAAUAAUAAAUGAACAAUGAACAACUUA